rnacentral:lncRNA from 1 species
UUGCAGAUGAUCCCAAGCUGUGUGGUGCGGACAACACCCAAGGGACGGGAUGGCAUUCUGAGAGACCAGGACAGGCUCCAGCAGUGGGCCUAGGGGAACCUUUUGAAGUUAAACAAAGCCAAGUGCAAGGUCUUGCACCCGGGUUGUGGCAACCUCCACUACCACUACAAGCUGGGCAAUGUAAGGACAGAGCACAGCCCUGCCGAAAAGGAACUGAGGGUACUGGUGGGUGGCAGCUGUACAUGAGUCAACAGUGUGCCCUCACAGCCCAGAAAUUCAACCGUUUCCUGGGCUGUCGGAGAGUUGGACAACAUUACCUUUAAAGGAUCCCUUCCAAAGUAAAAGAUGCUAUGAUUCUAACCUGGAUGGCCAGUGCUACAUGAAAAAAGAAAAAAAAAAAUACAGAGUGGGAGAAAGAUAAACAAUCACAAUAUAAGGAGUUUAAUGACUGAGCAGCAACUGGGUGGUUAUUUAGCUGGGCUAAGUUCUACACAGUUCUGGUGAGAUCAUUUUACCACGAAACCUAGAAGUGGACCAUGCUAGUUAUUGUCCAUUGCACCUGUUUUCAGGAUGACAUCUUUUAGCCACAACUCUUGUAAUGUAACUGAUCUCUCACCUCUUCUAGGCUAGGAACUCCAGCUUCUGCUCCUUUUUGUCUUAAAGGUCAGGCUCAGGCGUGAACAUUGUGACUUAGUACUUCAGAGAUGGCUUGAGAAAAGGAAAAGGACUGAGGUAUGGAACUGGAAAAAGGGAAGGAAUACGAGUUUCAAGCUGACUCCUCACCCAGCGUGAAAUCUCUGGGAAUAUAUUGUUUGAAUAACAUUCUGUGGCAAGUAAACACCAAUAUUUUAGUUCAAAUGUGAAAAUAUCUUCAGUUACAAGAACACACACACACACACACAAAAAGGAGAGAAAAUGUUUUCCUCCUCAUUAUUGCCCAUCUUUCAUGAGCAUUUCCUAUCAUUUUUAAGUAUUUUCCAGAGAAAGCACAUGCUUUCAAUGCCAAGAUUGAGCCCAAGGGAGUUUUUUCAGAAGAGUUUUAUUGACUAAUAGUAAUAAAAAGACAGUAAAAACACUUACACAAAGGAUAGAGAAAACAUACUUCUGCAGAAAAGUGAAAUAAACCUCAUGUCUCCUGUAAAACCAGGAAAAAAGCUGUGAGAUUUGGCUUUGAAUUUGUUUCAUGAUGAGCAUGAAGCAGCUUGAUUUGUUGACUACAUGAAGCAGUAGUACGACCUGAUAACUGAAUUCACUUUGAUUGGAAAUUAAAGUUUGUAAUUAUUUGAUGGAAUAAAAGGCAAAAAAAC